rnacentral:rRNA from 1 species
UAGGGAAUCUUCCACAAUGGACGCAAGUCUGAUGGAGCAACGCCGCGUGAGUGAAGAAGGCUUUCGGGUCGUAAAACUCUGUUAUUGAAGAAGAACGUGCGUGACAGUAACUGGUCAUGCAGUGACGGUAUUCAAUCAGAAAGUCACGGCUAACUACGUGCCAGCAGCCGCGGUAAUACGUAGGUGGCAAGCGUUGUCCGGAUUUAUUGGGCGUAAAGCGAGUGCAGGCGGUCUUUUAAGUCUGAUGUGAAAGCCUUCGGCUUAACCGAAGAAGGGCAUCGGAAACUGGGAGACUUGAGUGCAGAAGAGGAGAGUGGAACUCCAUGUGUAGCGGUGAAAUGCGUAGAUAUAUGGAAGAACACCAGUGGCGAAGGCGGCUCUCUGGUCUGUAACUGACGCUGAGGCUCGAAAGCGUGGGUAGCAAACAGGAUUAGAUACC